GCACUGCUGACGAGACCCAAACAGGACGAAACAGCAGUCCAGUGC
rfam:Echinostoma caproni strain Egypt genome assembly, scaffold: ECPE_scaffold0000438